GGUUAUAAAGAUUGUCAUUUCCAAGGUUAAUAAAUUACAAGAUAAUUAGAAACAAAAGUAGGGAUAUGAACAUGAGUACACAUAGUCGAGAUCAAUAAAAUGAAAAACUGGGAGUAAUGCUUACCCAAUUGCAAGAAAAGACCCUUUUGGACUCCAAGCACAAUCAAAAACCCGGAAAAACAAAAAAAAUGUAAUGUUAAUAUAGAAUACAAAAAAGGUAUGAUAUUUAUCAUUUUUGCUAUAAAGAAAUUUUGUCAGAUUAGGAGAAAUUUAUAAUGAUGCGGUCAAACCUUAGAUGUAUGUCCUUCCAAAGUCGUUACAUCAUAACUAGAUUUCACUCAUCAGAGAGGUUGUGAUUGUGCUGAUACACAUAUGCUCAAAAUCCGUCUUGCAAAAUAAGAAAAACUUUAGUGUCACCAAAACAACAAAACAUGGAAGAUCACUAAAAGUUACUGAAUUAAGCACGAAAAUGGAAGCUUCUAACGUUUGUCAUCUAGAAUAAAGAAACGCAAUAUGCACUUCAACUUAAAAUGAAACAAAAAAAGUAUUAAAAUAUACGUCGAUUAUUGGAGGCUAUAAGCUAGCACCGAAAAGGCGCUACUUUUUACAUUUGUCAUGUUUGACCAGAAAUAACAUACACCACAAAUUAUUUUUCCACAAAAUUACUUUUUGUAAAAGAUUUUUGACAAAAGCGUCUCUGGAUCAAAAAAAUAUUAAUUCUCCUACUUUGAGAUAUAAAGACUAAUUCUGAAAAACUCUCAAUUCAAAAAAAGAUUAUGCACUACAUGGUUAUAGAAAAAUAUUAACUUUCGCAAAAUUUAACUGUUUUAACAACAACAACAUAUCCAAAGAAGUCUGAAAAGGGUGGUGUUCACCCAAGCCUAAAGUAAAACAUAUCAAAGUAUCUAAUAAAAACGAAAACAUCAAGAUCUCCAUAAGAUAGUUCGAAAGAAGAAAACUAAAUUACCGAAUUUGAGAAGGAGAAUACGAUAGAGUGAAGAAGCCAUUGCUGUGAAUAGAUAACAUCUUAAAGAAACAAACAAAGGAUCAAUGGAUUUCUCCUACCUAUGAUAUAUAUAUAGAGAGAGAGAGAGGGAAAAUAUGGUAUACGGGAAUUUUGGGAAACAAAGUAUUUAUAUGUCAGACUAGAAUUAGAAAUGUUUUAAUUCCAAAAGACAUUUUGAAUAAAGUGUUGAAUGACAAUUGUUUCCUCAAGCUAUUUCAAAAACUUGAAGCAUUCAAUAUGUUUAAUCUGAUAUAGAUUCAGAAUUAAAACCAAAGUUCAAAUUUGAUAUUAUAUGACAAUAUAUUUAAUAUACGUAAGUUCACUUUAUUGGUUUUCUUUGGUAUUGAAGUAAGAGGAUCUAAAUUAUAUUGUAUAAUUAUAUAUUUUUAAGCCUAAAGCCUAAUAUUAUUAGUACAUAUAAUUUUUUCAUGUUCGUUUUGAUUUGUUAGUGUUUUUAGGACUUUAAGUUGUUACAAUACCUAAAUCAUUAUUUUUUAGAAGUUAAAAUUUUUUGCAAUCUUAACCAUAAGUUUAUAAGUACAUAUAUUUUUAAAAAAUAGAUCAUGGCAUACAUAUAUAAGGCUAAACACGGAUUUUAUUUUUCUAAGUGUAUUUUUUGUAUUCAUUUCUCAAAGAUUUCUUUUGUUAAUUAUUUCUCAUUAGUACUAUUAAUGUGUGUUUUGGUUAGUUUUAGAUUUGAAGUUUUUUGCUUAUUGAGUAAAGAAUCUUAAUUCCUAUAUGACUUAUUUAAAAUAAUUUCUUCUCGAGUGGAUUUUUGAGUCCUUUUAAAAUGACUUUAAUGGUAAAAAUUUGGGAUUUAAAGCUCUUAUUUUAGAGAAAGGGAUCAAAGACCCAAUAUUUACUCAAAAUUAUAUGCAUUUACCUUUAAGGAAUAUUCUGACGGUUUUUUGGGAGAUCUCUGACUUGUCGAGUUCAAGGUUGAGCUAGUUCGUUCAGGCUACUAUGGACUCAUCUGGAUCUUAGUCCAUUUCAUUCGGACGUAAACGUAAACCUUAUAAACUCUCUACAUCAUUUUCGCUUGGUUAUGUUUGUUUUUAGUGAAUUACUGAAUUUAUGGGAACUAGGAAUUUAAUUGAUUAUUGAAAUACUUUUCGACAUCUUUUAGUCUUAUCUUUUGGUUAGUAUCAUUUUAGUUGGGUUGUAGUAAUUGUUCGCCCACCGGACGGUUUAAUGUGGGUGUCAAUCACGAUGGUUUGGGUCAUGAAAAAGUUGGUAUCAGAGCCCUAGGUAUGUUAAUCUUUUUGUAACAAAAUAAUUCCAAUACAGUUUUGCAAAACAAAAGAGAGAUGUUUAUACUUUUCUUCGAGAUGUUACAAAUCUUGAGCAGAAUCUCUCAAUCAUUUUAUCUCUACGUGUUAUUACUUGAUUCUGAUUGGAAUAUGAUUAUCCAAAUUGGUAUCUAAUAUCUUCAACUUUUAGAUCCACAAAUGUCCAAAAUGUGAAACAACGAUGCCAAGCACAUAGUUUCUAUCAAUGACCAGCAAAGGAGCUCGUAACUAGAGGAUGCGACUGAUGCAAGUGUAGAGGAUGAAGGAGAAGAGGAUGAAGAAGGGUAGCACCCUCUACGGGUGAAAACCAAGCCUAGAACUGAUAUUUCAUCAUGACAAAAAUCGUUUGUCUGCCUUUCUUCCUCAAUGAAUGGGUCACUAAAUGUAUACAAAGACAACUACGUGUUUCAUCACCAAAUAGUAUUUUAUUAACUAUGGAAAUAUUUUUUGUCCGCAAAUGCAAAGUAUUUAUGACGAUCUUGUUCGUCAAAGAAAUUAUAAAAUUUUGUAGGUAAUUGUGUGUUUUCAUCACUAAAGAAGCCAUCAAAGCCGAAAAAUUGAUUUAUCACUGAAUAUUUAGUUUAAUUCGUGACGGCAUCAUUUGUCUCUAAUAUUAUAUGUAUUUCGUAAAAAGAAAACAUUAUUUCAUCACUAAAAGUUGUGUCUUACAUACAAAUUCUUUUAUCCCUAAAUGUAUAAAUUACAGACAACUAUGUUUUUUACAAUUUUGGAGUUGAUAAGAAUCAUAUCGUCACUAAAAAUAUAUCUAUUUUACCAAAAAAAUAAAAUUAUCACUAUCUAAUAUAAUAAUUAACAACAAUCACAGUUGUCACUAAAGGGCAUAUAUUUAUGACAAACAUACAAUUGUUUUAAUGAGGUCGUCUCUAAAAAUUAAACGUUUAUGGAUGAGAUAUUGUCACUAAUCACAAGCAUUUAUUGAUAAUUAAAUUAGUUGCAACCCUAUUUACAUUUUCAUUUAAAUAGGUUUCACUAAUUUAAUAUUUUAUUAAAAUUACAGUUAUUAAAUGAUACAUAGAUAUCUUCAAAUUUCCAGAAUGUAGUGUUUUAUUUUAUAAUAAACAUUGUUCAAAUUUAAAAUAAUAAAUGUGCACUGUCUAUGUUAACACAAAGUUUUGGUAUUACUGCAAAGGUAGCAAAACAUCAAGUGAACCCGAAGACGAUUUCAAAGAAAAGGUGAGAACCACAAGAAAAUAAAGUUGAAUAAAACAAGAACUAUUCUCUAAAGAAUUAAAUGUAAAGCAUGCUCAAACUUAUGAAAAAUAUUUCUACUUUAGAGUGCAUAAGCCUCAACAAUGCCAACUUUGACCCAUCCUGUUAGUUAACAUGAAUGGACAUUAUUCUAGAACAAAUUAAAAUUAAAAAAAUAGAAAUACUGCAAUGAUCCACAUAAUAUCCACAAAACAAUGAGAUUAUAUUAAAAUCUAACAUGACAUGCAUCUAAGGAAUUAUUUCUCCUGGAGGGGAAUGUCAAACAUAGAAAGUUUCAUGUUGUUAAAUAGGAGAAGCUUAUGAGGGACAGGAAAAUGGGAGGAUUGAGUGUAAAAUUUGCUUUGUCAAUACAUGCUUGAAAACAUACCUUAGUAUAAAUAGUAUACCCUAUCUCGUUUCCAGAAAUCUCUAGAAAAAAAUAGACAAGGGAAACAAUUGUUGUCUAAUUUAGGUGAAAAGAACAAAAAUGAUUCAAUGAGUCAAUCUUUUCUAUGAAACGCUUAUGAAUCAAUCUCACAUAACAUUUCAUUUCAAAGACAUAUCAAGAUGUUUCAUUAUUAUUUUGAUAGCAAUGUUCAGCCUAUUGUGUCUUUUAAUAAGUCCAUAUGUACUCUGUAGCUAUGUAUAAGGCAUAUGCAAAGUAACUAACUAAAGAAUCAAGAUUAAAAGAUAUAGGAGGUGACUAAUCACAACAUCCAAUGUGUUUUUCACCUAGAAGAAACAAAAUAGUUGAUCAGAACCAAUCCUAGCAAACCAACCAUAAGUUCUACAAUUGGAUUCACUAAUGUUUUAGACACUAAUACUAACUGAAACUAAAAAAAAAAGAACCUUGGAAAAAUCAUUUUUACAAGGUUAUCUACUUCAUUGUAUUUCCCUCUCUAAAUAAGAACAUUAAAAUCACAAAAAAAUGACAUGCUUUUGAGGAGAACAAAAGAUAUGUCUGAGUAACUGAGGUAUAAAGACUCAUUUAGUAUGCAUUAUGGAAUAGAAAAUUCAUGGGAUAUAAUGUUGGGGGGUUUUUUAGUGUGCAUUAGGUUGGUGAGAUAAGAGAUUUCAAUCAUAUGAGAUGUACUAAAAAUAUGGAAUAAAUUGUUCCAUAUAGAAAAUGGAAUAGGUAAUUCAUGAUAUAUCCUCUUCUAUCCAAUCUCACAUGCCAAAUGUGUCCUAAGAAUAACUAAAUGUAGCCCCAGGUUAUGAUCCACAGUACAAUACUCUAUAUAAUAUUAUGUACUACAACCAUGUUGGACAGGAUUACUUGGCACUAAAUAUCUUAUGGGCUGUAACAAGUUGUUCAUUAAAAUUAGCUAAGGCGUUACACAACUUACCUCUUCAACAAACUAGGAUAACCCUUGCCACUCUAAUCUAAAAGAUCCUAUUAACAAUUUCUCAAGUUUAAUAUACAAUACUUCUUCUACUCCUCAUAAUGGACAUAUAUAAUUUACUCAAAAAAUAAUAUCUAGUCGCAGCUCGACAGUGACAUGUCUUAGACAUUAACGAACUAAGCAAAUAAAGAAACAACAAUGACAUACCACAAGUGGGGUCUUUAACUUGAAUUUUUAAUUAUUAAUCUUCUAUAAGUUGGACAUUGUGUUGCUGCUUUUAAACAAGUUCCUUCAUGAUCUAAUGCCUCAAAUUAAAAUUAAAAAUUUACUUCAACAUUUAUUAGAAAAAAUUAGUAAAAGAUAAAUGAACAAAAAUCGGAGUUAUGGUGAUGAGAUCCAAGAAGAGAAGUCAUCAACCCAUGACACUUCACAACAACACACAUACAGAGAGAAUUCACUUGAGAUAUAUAGCUCGAAUAAGUAAACAGAAUGAAAGGGGAAGAACUUACAACCAUGGCUACAACUCAGAGAAUGACCAGGUAUGCCUGAAAAGAUAAAGGAUAUGGCUAUCGACCAUGGAGUCUAUGACCAGCUACGAUAAAGGAUCUGGCCGGUGACGACCGAAAGAGAAGCUCACUUUUAAGUUU
rnacentral:lncRNA from 1 species